UGUAACUCAAUAGAUAUGUUGUUCAGGAAUCAGGAAACAUUUAUUGCCAUAAUAUAUCAGACAUACAUUUGACUUGGCGGUUGGUGCGUAACAGUAGACAGUACAACAAUAGACAACAAGACAACAGUGCACGAGUAAUAAAAUAAAAUAAAAUGCUAUGGGUUAGUAGUAUAAGGCUAUGGGUUAGUUUAAAAUAAAAUAAUACAAGUUAAAAAAAAUAAAGUAAAGUUGCUCUUUAUGCAUGUUUGAAAUCGGUUCACUGUCUUUAUAAAACUUCUAGUAAAUCACAACUGCGUGCACAGAUCGCAGUAAAAGUAUUCGUUGUCCAUAACCAACCUGACAGCAGGCGGAGCAGGUGUUUAGAUCAUUCAGUGCCUUGCACUGACAAGUCUGGCCCGUCAAAGUGUUUUUACAGGAGUAGUACCUGCCACAGCUGCCUCAGGUAUGAGAAGACAUUUAAAGCAACAAGCAAGACCUAGGUGUAAAUCGUUGUUGCUUUCAAAAUAAAACCAGCUGGAUAAAAAUCGCCCGUGAAGAAGAACCGUACAAUCGUUCAGGUUAUGGUUAAGGUGUUAUGGCUCAGAUAACAAAGUAAUGCAACUUUAGCUGAAAAAAGGAAAUGUACAUAAUGAGUACGUAUUUGGUCAUGUUAAACGUUGUAUUUCAAUAUGGGUUUUAUUUUGAAACUUGGGAAGGGACGUCUCUCUAACUUUGGAGUUAGUUACACCUUGCUGCGUCCCACCCAUAAAACCUGUGUGCAUUUGCCAUAAAAGUGCACAGGUGGGUCUGUGAGACGUGGACAGAGGACAGCUACGGACCCAAAUGGAGAGCAAGACUCCGUCCAAAGGUCCUGUCGGAGCAGGUGCCUGUGGUCUGCAGCCCCUUCCUGAGGUAGCCGAGCCCGAAGACCUGAGCAAUGUGGAGGGCAGCAAGUGCCAACCCGGACACCCUGCAGGGGCAAGAGAUGCAAAGGAGGUGCACUCAUUGGACAGCUCUCCGUCUUCCUCGGAGAGCGAGGACGAGGGUCUCUGCAAGAAAGACAAGAAGAAGAAAAAGCUGAAAAAGAAAACAAAGAAGAAGAAGAAGAAGGAUUCCAGCUCAUCCUCUUCCUCCUCCUCCUCCUCCUCCUCCUCCUCCAGUAGCUCUUCAGAGAGUGACAGCGAGGAUGACAAGAAGAAGAAGAAGAAAAAGCAGAAGAAGGACGAAGGGCAGAAAGAGUGUGUCCGGGACGAUGUUAUCAUAUGUAGUCCUGGUGGCCAGAUGGAGCAGCCGGGUGCAGAAGGUGCAGAAGGUGUGAAGAUGAGCCAGGAUUGUAACUCCUCAGAUGGUGAAGAUGACAAGAAGAAGAAGAAGAAGAAGAAGAAGAAGAAGAAGAAGCAGGACAAGAAGAAGAAGAAAAAGAAGAAGGAUUCGUCUUCUUCCUCAUCUGACUGUUCCUGCUCCGACUGCGAGGACGAAAAGAAGAAGAAGAAGAAGAAGAAGAAGAAGAAGAGGAAGAAGAAGGACUCAAGCUCCUCUUCCUCAGACAGCUCUUCAUCAUCCUCUGACAGCGAGGAUGACAAGAAGAAAAAGGACAAGAAGAAGAAGAAGAAGAAAAAGAAAGACAAGAAAAAGGAUUCCAGCUGCUCGUCUUCAUCUUCAUCUUCUGACAGUGAUAAAGAUGAGAAGAAAAAGAAGAACAAGAAGAAGAAGAAGAAGAAGAAGAAGAAGAAUGACAAGGAAAAGAAGAACAAGAAACACGAUGAAGAGCAGAAUGAGCUCUGCGGUGGAGCUGCUCCUCCAGCUUCUGGUGAGUGUUUUUCUGCAGGUGGUGAGACUCCGGGACCAAGUGCUGAUGGAGAGAAAAAGAAAGACGAUUCUGCCGACAAGGUCAAGAAAGAGCCUAAAGAAAAAGAAAAAUGUGGAGCAAAGGCCUUCGCUGACGCUAUUGAGGAAGGCCACCUGAGUGACGACGAGGGAGAAGGAGAGAACCACAAGAAGAAGAAGAAGAAGAUGCUGAAGAAGAAGAAGGAGAAGGGUUCCGGCUCAUCAUCAGACAGUGAUGACGACGAAGAAGACAAGAAGAAGAAAAAGAAGAAGAAGGAGAAGGACUCCUCCAGCUCCUCCUCUUCGUCUGAUAGUUGCUCCUCAGAUAGUGAUGAGGACAAGAAGAAGAAGAAGAAGAAGAAGAAGAAGGAUUCUGGAUCCUGCUCGUCUUCUUCAUCCUCUGAUAGCGAAGAGGACAAGAAGAAGAAGAAGAAGAAGAAGAAGAAGAAGAAGAAGAAAAAGAAGAAGAAGAUGAAGGAUAAGGACUCCUCCUCUUCUUCAUGCUCGGAUAGUGAAGAGGACAAGAAGAAGAAGAAGAAGAAGAAGAAGAAGAAGAAGACGAAGAAGAAGAAGAAGGAUAAGGACUCCUCGUCUUCUUCAUGCUCUGAUAGUGAAGAGGACAAGAAGAAGAAGAAGACGAAGAAGAAGAAGGAUAAGGACUCCUCGUCUUCUUCAUGCUCUGAUAGUGAAGAGGACAAGAAGAAGAAGAAGAAGAAGAAGAAGAAGAAGAAGAAGACGAAGAAGAAGAAGGAUAAGGACUCGUCCUCUCCUUCAUGCUCUGAUACUGAAGAGGACAAGAAGAAGAAGAAGAAGAAGAAGAAGAAGUCCUCUUGCGCUGAGAGUGAUGACGACAAGAAGAAGAAGAAGAAGAAGAAAGAUAAGAAGAAGAAGAAGAAAAAGAAGGAUUGUUCCUCUGGAUCGUCCAGUGAUUCGAGUGAUAAUGACAAGAAGAAGAAGAAGAAGAAGAAGAAGAAGAAAAGGAAAGAUAAGAAGAAAAAGAAAGACAAGAAGAAGGACUCCGAUUCUUCUACCAGUGCUGAUGACAAAAAGAAGAAGAAAGACAAGAAGAAGAAAAAGAAGGACAAAAAGAAGGACUCAAAGUCCAGUUCAUCGUGUCCAUCUGACGGCAGUGACAAGGAGAAUAAAAAGGACAAGAAGAAGAAGAGGUCUGGUUCAUCAGGAAGUGAAACUGACAAUAAGAAAAAGAGGGAAUGCUCUGAUGGCGAGCGAGGCGGCGAAGAUCCCGGUGCCGGUCGGGCCGGACUUUCAGCUCCCGGUGGCAGCUGCUCUACGCCUGCCGCUGCUCCCGCCGUCCCCUACGUGUCCCUCCCCUCCAAACCUGUUGUGAAGAUGGAUCCUCUGCGUCCUUCAACUGUCUGCCGGCCCUCUGCCCCUGUCUCCUCUGCCCCCGCCUCUUCUGCCCCUGUCUCCUCUGCCCCCGCCUCUUCUGCCCCUGUCUCCUCUGCGCCCGCCUCUUCUGCCCCUGUCUCCUCUGCGCCCGCCUCUUCUGCCCCCGCCUCUUCUGCCCCUGUCUCCUCUGCGCCCGCCUCUUCUGCCCCUGUCUCCUCUGCGCCCGCCUCUUCUGCCCCUGUCUGCUCUGCCCCCGCCUCUUCUGUCCCUGGGUCCUAUGUCCCUGGGUCCUUUGUCGCUGGCUCCUAUGUCCCUGGGUCCUAUGUCCCCGGCUCCUCGAGUGUUGGAGAUAAGGCCCCCAAUCGUAGGCCUCCCAGCCCCAUGGAGGCCCUGAUGGGGAGCCCGAGGCGGUACGGCUCCUCCCAUCUCAGCUCAAGCGACCUAUUGAAAGGCCCCAAGCCUUAUCAAUGAUGAGAUCAAAACACGCGUUACUCGUGUUUCCUUUUAAAGCAACUGGAGGAUGUCGACCAUGAGAGGAGAUAUGAUUCCUUGAUUUCAUGCUGGAUAAAUGUGAUGACUGGUGGAAAAACGUAUUGUGACACGAUGAAAAUGUCCAAGAUGAGAAGUAUAAUCCAAACAUGGAAAGUCACGAUUGUGUUUUUAAUCAAUAAAGCGCACAUGUGUAAUAAUA
ensembl:lncRNA